rnacentral:rRNA from 1 species
AUUGAACGCUGGCGGCAGGCCUAACACAUUCAAGUCGAGCGAGCGGCGGACGGGUGAGUAAUGUCUGGGAAACUGCCUGCUGGAGGGGGAUAACUACUGGAAACGGUAGCUAAUACCGCAUACCAUCAGAUUUGCCCCGAUGGGAUUAGCUAGUAGGUGGGGUAACGGCUCACCUAGGCGACGAUCCCUGGCUGGUCUGAGAGGAUGACCAUCCCCCUUGGAACGAAGACACGGUCCUGACUCCUCCCACAACCACCAAUCUAAAAUAUUACGAAAUGAACGCAAGCCUGGUUCAGCCAUGCCGCGGGUGUGAAGAAUUCCUUCGGGUUCUAACGCACUUUAAGCGGUGAGGCGUUACCCGAAGAAGAAGCACCGGCUAACUCCGUGCCAGCAGCCGCGGUAAGAC